CGACAGACGGCUACUAUGCCGGCUGAUGGAUUGCUCGGCUCGAGAGCUGAUGAAGGACGUGCCAAGCUGCGAUAAGCCUCAGGGAGCUGCAUGGAAGCGAAGAACUGAGGAUGUCCGAAUGGGAAUCCCCACAGCAAUUGCCAAUGCGCAAUGAGGAACGCCCCGAAUUGAAACAUCUUAGUAGGGGCAGGAAGAGAAAACAAGCGUGAUGUCGUUAGUAACCGCGAGUGAACGCGAUGAAGCCCAAACCGAAUCCGCAAGGAAAUGUGGUGUAUGGGCUGGCAUUCAGCACUCGACCAUCUACGAGAAGUCUUCUGGAACGAAGCACGAAACAGGGCGACAGUCCCGUAUCGUAGACCAGUAGAGUGUGCGCCAGUACCUGAGUAGCGGGGGUUGGAUAUCCCUCGUGAAUACCGCGGGCAUCGACCGCGAAGGCUAAACACUCCUCGAGACCGAUAGUGAACAAGUAGCGUGAGCGAACGCUGAAAAGCACCCCGAGAAGGGCGGUGCAAUAGGGCAUGAAACCAGUCGGCGAUAGAGCGACGGGGCUUACAAGGCUCCUUUCAAAACGACCGAAGCGCGAGCUUCCAGUAGGACGAAAGGAGAGCCGAAGUUCCGUCGUACGUUUUGAAAAACGAACUAGGGAGUGUAUCUCUUUGGCGAGUCUAACUGGAUCAUCCAGGAAGGCGUAGGGAAACCGAUAGGGGCGCAGCAUUGCCAGGCCCACCGUGUUCAAGCGCGGGGAGUCGAAGGGAUACGACCCGGAACCGAGCGAUCUACUCUGGAGCAGGGUGAAGCGUACCGAAAGGCACGUGGAAGCCCGUUAGGGUUGGUGUCCUACAAUACCCUCCCGUGACUCGAGAGUAGGGGUGAAAGGCCCAUCGAGCUCGGCAACAGCUGGUUCCAACCGAAACAUGUCGAAGCAUGACCUUUUCCGAGGUAGUUUGCGCGGUAGAGCGACCGAUUGAGAGAUCCGCCUCCGAGAGGAGUCGGCCUCUCUGUCGAACUCCGAACGUGCAAACGCCAUGGACGAAAGGAGUCCGGUACCCGGGGUAAGCUUGGGUACCGUGAGGGGAACAACCCAGAGCUGGGUUAAGGUCCCAAAGUGUGGAUUAAGUGCGAUUCGAAGGUAGUCUCGAGCCCUAAACAGCCGGGAGGUGAGCUUAGAAGCAGCAACCCUCUAAGAAAAGCGUAACAGCUUACCGGCCGAGGUUCGAGGCGCCGAAAAUGAUCGGGGCUCAAAUCCACCACCGAGACCCUGCGGCGCUGUGUACAACAGCGAUCCUGUAGGUUGGCAUUCUGGACGGAUGGAAGUACGGGCGAGAGUUCGUAUGGACCGUUCAGUAACGAAAAUCCUAGUCAUAGUAGCAGCGAAAGUCGGGUGCGAACCCCGACGGCCAGAAGAGUAAGGGUUCCUUGGCACUGUCAAUCAGCCAAGGGUUAGUCGAUCCUAAGGCUCCCCGUAAGACGAAGGAGUCGAAAGGGUAGCUGGUUAAUAUUCCAGCACUGCCAUACAGUGAAACCGACACUUCCGGAAUCAUCAUGCUGGGCCUUCGCCCAGUCAAAUUGAGGAAGCUCGUGGAAACCGUAACGGUACGAAGCGAGCGAAGCUCGAGAUAGCGAAAGAUGGUGUUACCAGGAGUCCGUGAAAAGGGAGUAUGGCAUCCGUACCGAGAUCCGACACAGGUACUCUGCCAGAGCAAGGCGCGGCCUGUCGGGACAACCGACGUUAGGGAAUUCGGCAAGUUAGUUCCGUACGUUCGCAAUAAGGAAUGCCUGCCCCACACGGGGCAGGUCGCAGUGUCUUGGGCGCUCCGACUGUCUAGUAACAACACAGGUGACCGCAAAUCCGCAAGGACUCGUACGGUCACUGAAUCCUGCCCAGUGCGGGUAUCUGAACACCUCGUACAAGAGGACGAAGGACCCGUCAACGGCGGGGGUAACUAUGACCCUCUUAAGGUAGCGUAGUACCUUGCCGCUUCAGUAGCGGCUUGCAUGAAUGGAUCAACGAGAGCGCCACUGUCCCAACGUUGGACCCGGUGAACUGUACGUUCCAGUGCGGAGUCUGGAGACCCCCAAGGGGAAGCGAAGACCCUAUAGAGCUUUACUGCAGGCUGUCGCUGAGACGUGGUCGCUACUGUGCAGGAUAGGUAGGAGGCAUUACACAGGUACCCGCGCUAGCGGGCCACCGAGCCAUCACUGAAAUACUACCCGGUAGUGACUGCGACUCUCACUCCUGGCGGAGGACACCGGUAGCCGGGCAGUUUGACUGGGGCGGUACGCGCUCGAAAAGAUAUCGAGCGCGCCCCAAGAUUUCCUCACUCGGGUCGGGAACCCGAGGAAGAGCGCAAGAGCAUACGGAAGUCUGACAGUGUCAUUCCCAACGAGUGACGCUGACGCGAAAGCGUGGUUUAGCGAACCAACCAUGGUCCUUGAUGGGCCAGGUUGCUGACAGAAAAGCUACCUUAGGGAUAACAGAGUCGUCACCCGCAAGAGCACAUAUCGACCGGGUGGCUUGCUACCUCGAUGUCGGUUCCCUCCAUCCUGCCCGUGCAGAAGCGGGCAAGGGUGAGGUUGUUCGCCUAUUAAAGGAGGUCGUGAGCUGGGUUUAGACCGUCGUGAGACAGGUCGGCUGCUAUCUAUUGGGGGUGUUAUGGUACUUGACGAGAACGAUCGUAUAGUACGAGAGGAACUACGAUUGGUGGCCACUGGUGUACCGGUUGUCUGAGAAGGCACUGCCGGGCAGCCACGCCGCACGGGGUAAGAGCUGAACGCAUCUAAGCUCGAAACCCACUUGGAAACGAAGUACCGUUGAGGUCACUCGUAGAAGACGAGUUAGAUAGACUCGGGAUGUACGCGCCAAGGCAACGAGGCGUUGAGUCCGCGAGCACUAACAGACCGAAGCCAUCAUUCA
rfam:Halophilic archaeon DL31, complete genome.